AGGGGAAUUGCUGGGUCAUAUGGUAACUCUAGAUUCAAUCUUUUGAGGAAUUGUCAAACUGUUUUCCAAAGCGGCUGCACCAUUUUACAUUUCCACCAGCAAU
rnacentral:pre_miRNA from 1 species